rnacentral:lncRNA from 1 species
CUCUAGCUGGCCCUCUCAGCUCCCCUCUGUUCUUUCAGUGGGAGCACCGACCCUGCCACACCAGGAGAAUAGACAGAGAAGUCACAGUGUAAACACUCACAUGACUGAACUUUGGGAAUUAAUCUAGUCAUGGGCAUGACUACACAGCUUACCAGGGAACUGGUCCUGAGGACAGGCAGGUCUGUGGGUUCAAUGUAUAUAAAUAUAUAUCUGCUAUCUGUCUCUCUCAUGUGUUCCUCUAGCAAGCUAUAGAAAAAUUGCAUUUGAACAUUGUAUAUGCUUAUGCAAUAUUUUGACACAGGGCAAUUAAUGCAUGUGUUUGACAAUGUGCACUAGAAUAUAUAUACAUACACAAGUGCGUGUAUAUGUACAGUAUACACACACAUAUAUUCAUUCUCUGGAGUUCAGUCAGAAGCAAAUCUAUUGCUUGGUGGGUUGGUUGUGUAAGAAACCCAAUGGGUAUGGUAAACCCACUGGGCCUGGGUUUGCUGUCAUUGCCUCAGACACACUCCAGUGUUCAUGGAUUCCUAGACAUUAGAA